rnacentral:rRNA from 1 species
UACGUAGGGGGCAAGCGUUGUCCGGAUUUAUUGGGCGUAAAGAGCGUGUAGGCGGCCAGGUAGGUCAGCUGUGAAAACUCGAGGCUCAACCUCGAGACGCCGGUUGAAACCAUCUGGCUAGAGUCCGGAAGAGGAGAGUGGAAUUCCUGGUGUAGCGAUGAAAUGCGCAGAUAUCGGGAGGAACACCAAUGGCGAAGGCAGCUCGCUGGGACGUUACUGACGCUGAGACGCGAAAGCGUGGGGAGCAAACAGG